rnacentral:rRNA from 1 species
UACGGGGGGGGGCAAGCGUUGUUCGGAAUUACUGGGCGUAAAGGGCUCGUAGGUGGCCAACUAAGUCAGACGUGAAAUCCCUCAGCUUAACCGGGGAACUGCGUCCGAUACUGGAUGGCUUGAGUUUGGGAGAGGGAUGCGGAAUUCCAGGUGUAGCGGUGAAAUGCGUAGAUAUCUGGAGGAACACCGGUGGCGAAGGCGGCAUCCUGGACCAACACUGACGCUGAUGAGCGAAAGCCAGGGGAGCAAACGGG